AGUGAACGCUGGCGGUAGGCCUAACACAUGCAAGUCGAACGGCAGCACAGUAAGAGCUUGCUCUUACGGGUGGCGAGUGGCGGACGGGUGAGGAAUACAUCGGAAUCUACUUUUUCGUGGGGGAUAACGUAGGGAAACUUACGCUAAUACCGCAUACGACCUACGGGUGAAAGCAGGGGAUCUUCGGACCUUGCGCGAUUGAAUGAGCCGAUGUCGGAUUAGCUAGUUGGCGGGGUAAAGGCCCACCAAGGCGACGAUCCGUAGCUGGUCUGAGAGGAUGAUCAGCCACACUGGAACUGAGACACGGUCCAGACUCCUACGGGAGACAGCAGUGGGGAAUAUUGGACAAUGGGCGCAAGCCUGAUCCAGCCAUACCGCGUGGGUGAAGAAGGCCUUCGGGUUGUAAAGCCCUUUUGUUGGGAAAGAAAAGCAGCAGGUUAAUACCCUGCUGUUCUGACGGUACCCAAAGAAUAAGCACCGGCUAACUUCGUG
rnacentral:rRNA from 1 species